CGACAACCUCCGAGCUGGUGGAGGGGCAGAGCGAAGGCAGCUGGAUAAAUUCAUAGCUGUGGAAUUCCUGGAUCAAAUGGUACUCGGAGAAUUAAAGCUGACUGGACUCAAUUCCUGGAAUUUUCUAGAAUGGUAGAAGUGGAAAAUAUAUUAAAGGAGACCUGCCCUGAAACGGACUUGUGCUGCAAUGUACAAACUCACCCUCUAAUGUCCCAUGGCCAAACAGCACAAGCAGAGAAGUUUCCCCUACAGCACAAAGACUCUUCGCUUUGCACGUGGAUAAACACCAGGGCCACAAACGUGCCCCACAGCACACAUUUCACCACAUCACCCAGCCUCACCCAGAGGCACACAUAUCCUCCCCGCAGCCAAAAUCUCACUAAAGGAUGCAGAUCUGCACCCCCCAUGACACAGAGACACUCUACCCCAGACACACAGACCAUCACAGCCCCUCCGACUGUCCCCACGUCACACAGAGCCUUUCCCUGGCACACGUGGAGCCCACAGACACAGCCCACAGAACACAGAUUCUUCCAAAAGCAAGCAUCUUCUCAAGGCCCAAAGACUCACUCCUGAGGUCACAGACAUGCCCUCCCACCCACCAAUAUGCCCCACGACACAACACUCUUACCACACAGCAGGGACUCAGUCCGUGGCACAUGGGUGCCCCAUGGAACAAAGGCUGUCCCCACAGCACCCAGAUUUCUCCAAUGCCCCACCCAGUAAACCCAUAGCUGAGGUCCUCCGCAGGGCGCAGACUCUGUUUGCAUCUCCCUGACCCAGCACACGGACUCCCACCAAGGGUGAGGAUUUUUCCCAGGGCACAGAGACGACCCCCAGAGCACACAGGCCCUCCUCCGGGCACAGGACCUCACCCCCCACCCCACACCAGGCACACAGCCUCCCCCAUCCCAGAACACAGUUCACUACACAGCUUGAAAAUCUGCACAGAGAGACACACACACUCUCCGCUGACAGACAGGCAAACUCCACAGCACUCAGACAAGCAGCACAGCACCCAAGCCCGCUCCUGUGGACAUGGACGUGGCCCGCAGGACACAGGCACGACUCAAAUCACAUAGACUUACCCUGCGAAACAGUCCCCCCCCCCCGCCCCCGCUGACAGCACACGGAGUGUCCCGGACACACACACAUUCUCCUUUUGGCUGAAAGAUGCUCCCCACAGCACACAGUAUACUGUCUCCAGUAUCUAGGCUCAUCCCACAAACCAGCUGUCUCCCCAGGACCCAGGCCCUCCCCCCGGGCACACAGACCCUCUCCGACUCAGCGGACUGGCCCCAGGACACACAGCCUCUCGGUGGGACACAGUCAUGUCCAUAGCACAGGGACGUGCCCGCACCACCUAGACCCUCCCCACAGCUCCAAGACUCAGCCCACAGCACCAAGAUUAAAUCCAGAGCACAGGCUCGCCCCACUGCACUCGGACAAGCUCACCCCAUCACAGAGAGAUGCAAAGACCAUCUUUACAUGUAUCCCCUCGACUGUGGCACAACGCACCAUCUUUCCCUCCAAGGCAUCAGUUGACUCUGCAACAAACACAGUCACCACACAAUGCAAACACACCCUAUGGCACCCUCAUGUGCCCUACAGCGUCCAGAGCUCCUCCAAAUAUCCGCUUCUCCAUAACGCACACUGUGGCCUUGGAUCAAGAAAGCCCCUGUCAAAUUCUUCAGACACACUCUAUGAUACAUAUACACACCUCACAACUCACAGCACUACUUCCCAGUGUGCAAACUGGCCCUACAGCGCACAGGCUUCUUCCACAACAGACACGCUCAUGCCAUGGCAGCACCUAACUUUUCCCGGAAAUGUUCAGAUUCGCCCCUCAGCGCACAGUCACCUCACAACCUCGAUACAACCUAUGAUAAAGCACAACCCUGCACUCAGUGAUGCAGAGUCAUGUCACAGGACACACUUGUCACGCAAAUUCACUUCACCCAAACCACACUCCUUAGGGUGAUUACGCAGUGCACACACACACCCCCAAACACUCACCACCCUUUGUUCUACAACCUCCGGAUUCACCCGUAACACACAGCUGGCUUUCACACCAAAGUCGGCCCAAGGAGGCCCAGAACUUCAUCUAGAUGCACAGAUUCUCCCAUCAACACACAGUCUUGCUCCACGACACACACAAACACCACAGAACCCUGAGCCUCACUCCCAAAUACUCAGUCAAGCCUUUCAAGUCAUAGAUUUGCCCCACGACAUAAUCACACCCACAAAACUUAGAAUUCACAGAAAUGCCUGUGAACACAUAGAUUUCUCCCUCAAUGCAUAGAGUUGCAACACAACAUACAUUUACCCUAAGAUAGAAAACCUAUAAAGCACAGGAGCCUUCCCCAAUAUGUAGACACACAACACACACUAUUACCUGUGCGACGCCAAGAUUUCCAUCAUAGUUUACAGAUGUGCUUUACCAUCUCACUGAGCUGCAGCCCUGGCCCUCAACACAUACCACUUGUGUAAUGGCUAAGAGCAAGGCCUCUGGACCCAGACUACUUGGGUUCGAAUCCAGGUUCCACCCCUUUCUAAUUGUGCACAUUUGUCUUCAUUUGUCAACUGUGGAUGAUGCUGGUUCCUGCCUCCAAGACUGUUGGACUAUAUGACACCAGGAGAUAGGAAGAUUGAGAGAGCUGGUGGAAGCGGGGAAGAGGGCGUCUUUCGCCACCUAGUGAC